CCUACGGGUGACAGCAGUAGGGAAUUUUCGUCAAUGGGCGCAAGCCUGAACGAGCGAUGCCGCGUGAGUGAAGAAGGCCUUCGGGUCGUAACGCUCUGUUGCGGGGGAAAAAAGGCAGCAUCAGGAAAUGGGUGCUGACUGAUGGUGCCCCGCCAGAAAGUCACGGCAACUUACGUGCCAGCAGCCGCGGUAAUACGAAGGUGGCGAGGGUAUACCGGAUGGAUUGGGGGAAAGGGUGCGCAGGCGGUCCUGCAAGUCUGGUGUGAAACGCAUGAGCUCAAAUCAUGCAUGGCAUUGGAAACUGGAGGACUGGAGAGCAGGAGAGGGCGGUGGAACGCCAUGUGUAGCGGUAAAAUGCGUAGAUAUAUGGAAGAACACCAGUGGCGAAGGCGGCCGCCUGGCCUGUUGCUGACGCUGAGGCACGAAAGCGUGGGGAGCAAAUAGGAUUAGAUACCCUUGUAGUC
rnacentral:rRNA from 1 species